rnacentral:rRNA from 1 species
CCUACGGGGGGCAGCAGUGGGGAAUUUUCCGCAAUGGGCGAAAGCCUGACGGAGCAAUACCGCGUGAGGGAUGAAGGCCUAUGGGUUGUAAACCUCUUUUUUCAGGGAGGAAUAAAAUGACGUGUACCUGAAGAAUAAGCAUCGGCUAACUCCGUGCCAGCAGCCGCGGUAAGACGGGGGAUGCAAGUGUUAUCCGGAAUCACUGGGCGUAAAGCGUCUGUAGGUGGUUAAAUAAGUCAACUGUUAAAUCUUGAGGCUCAACCUCAAAAUCGCAGUCGAAACUGUUUGACUAGAGUAUAGUAGGGGUAAAGGGAAUUUCCAGUGGAGCGGUGAAAUGCGUAGAGAUUGGAAAGAACACCGAUGGCGAAGGCACUUUACUGGGCUAUUACUAACACUGAGAGACGAAAGCUAGGGUAGCAAAUGGGAUUAGAUACCCCAGUAGUC